rnacentral:rRNA from 1 species
GGGUUGUGAGGUUAAGCGACUAAGCGUACACGGUGGAUGCCCUGGCAGUCAGAGGCGAUGAAGGGCGUGCUAAUCUGCGAUAAGCGCCGGUAAGGUGAUAUGAACCGUUAUAACCGGCGAUACCCGAAUGGGGAAACCCAGUGUGACUCGUCACACUAUCAUUAACUGAAUCCAUAGGUUAAUGAGGCGAACCGGGGGAACUGAAACAUCUAAGUACCCCGAGGAAAAGAAAUCAACCGAGAUUCCCCCAGUAGCGGCGAGCGAACG